rnacentral:tRNA from 1 species
UUUUCAGUAGCUCAGUGGUAGAGCGAGUGGCUGUUAACUACUUGGUCGUUGGUUCAAGUCCAACCUGAAAAG